GCCCGGCUAGCUCAAUCGGUAGAGCGUAAGACUCUUACCAAUAAGCAAUCUUAAGGCUGCGGGUUCGACCCCCGCGUUGGGCU
rnacentral:tRNA from 1 species